GAGCCACUCCUGGGCCACACCUGGGCCACGCCUGAGCCACUCCUGGGCCACAACUGGGUCAUGCCUGAGCCACACCUGAGUCACGCCUGAGCCACACCUGAGUCACGCCUGGGCCACACCUGGGCCACCUGGGCCACCCUGGGCCACCUGGGCCACCCUGGGCCACACCUGGGCCAUUCCUGGGCCAUACCUGGGUCAUGCCUGAGCCACACCUAGACCACUCCUGGGCCACACCUGGGCCACACCUGAGUCACGCCUGGGCCACACCUGGGCCACACCUGGGCCACGCCUGAGCCACUCCUGGGUCACGCCUGGGCCACUCCUGGGUCACGCCUGGGUCACGCCUGAGCCGCUCCUGGGCCAUACCUGAGCCACUCCUGGGCCACACUGGGCCACCUGGGCCACCCUGGGCCACCUGGGCCACUCCUGGACCACACCUGAGUCACGCCUGGGCCAUACCUGGGCCACACCUGGGUCACUCCUGGGUCACAACUGAGCCACUCCUGGGCCACACUGGGCCACCUGGGCCACACUGGACCACACCUGGGCCACGCCUGGGCCACGCCUGGGAGUGCCCCCCACUGCUCCUCGGAGCUGCCUGGGCUGGCCUCCUGUGCACGCAGGACUGGGGAGGGCUGUGGUCUCGGCCACCCCCCUGAGCUGCUGCCUGUGGGCAGCCCCGGCCAUCAGGGCCUGUCCUCACCCUCUGGGCCUCUGCCCUGUGUCAGUCUGACUCAAGGACGAGGGCGACGCUGGCGUUAGCCUGGCCACCUCCUGAGAGGCUGCCCCUUGCAGGCCUCAGGGUCCCCAGCUGGAGAUGGGGGUGCUGCUUCUGCCCCGCAGGCUGCUGGGGAGCCGCAGUCCACGGUGACCAGGGGGCUGCUCCCUCGAGGUCCCUGAGGCUCGUGUCCCCAACCUUGGGAAGACGACAUCUGUCUGAGCCUCGGCUCCCAGGCCUGGAUGCUUCUAGAACUGGCACCGCCGGCCUUUGUCCUUCUGCGGGGCCAGCCUCAGAAGCUCCCGGAGGAGGGUGGGAAGACCUUGUCAUUUAUCAGAGAGAGGAGAGGCAAGCCCUAGGCGGGACACAAGAAGGGACUUCCAGAGGUCAGGAGGAGUGUCGGGAGCCUCGAGCAGGUGAUGGCUUGUGGGUGAGGCUGGUCUCAGCUGCGGUGGGUGGUCGCUGCCCACCACGUGGGCCCGGGGACCCCUCACCAGGUGGCCGUCAGCCCC
rnacentral:lncRNA from 1 species